UUGAAAAGAUUAACCCUAAUGCUUAUGGUUUGAAGUUACCUAGCCAUACUCAUAUUUUUUGGGGGCGUUUGUUUGCCCUCACUAAGUGUCACUGAACUAGACUGAACUAACAAUUAGUCCAAUCUAGUGUUUGUUCUAUACUGGGAUUAUGUUUAAUGAAAGUAAGAGGGACUUGCACAGACAAACACCUUCGCUAAGAGUUUUUAGCAAGACCCCCGAUACCCAUGGGAUUGCUAAGACCUCGUCUGUUCCGUCUUCGUAUGCACCGUCCUUAUCGUGCUUUUAUCUCUCUCUGUUCUUUGUUCUCUUGAGCACCAACAACCACCAUCACACCACAGCUCACCAACUCCAGCAAGACCACACCACCAACCCACCACCACUCUCUCCCUCACUCCUCACCCUGAACCCAGAAUUUCGAACUGAGGAAGAUCCCGCUCUUACCGUUGUCCGUCCAACUCUAGCCGUCCUCCGAUCCACCUCCAAGGAAGAUCUCACACUUGCUAUCCUUGAUUCAAUACCACAGAGGAGUUAUGUAGGUUAAUUUAUUUCAUUUCCUAUAUUUUUUGUUGUUCAAUUUCAAACUUGUGAUGUAGCUUUAAAAAGGGCAGCAAAGCCUUAACCCGCAGCUCCAACACCGACCACCUUCUCUAGCCCCACCAGCUUGUUGAUCAGUUUCCUUGUCGUCACUUUUGAAAGAGGCUAUGGUUUGAUUUUGACCGUAAUCCAUCACCAGCGCCUUACCUUUCUGGAAGUGGAUAACCCCAAUUGAAGUCCUUAAAUAAGUUACUCGGACCAUAGUAUAUCACUGGUCAAUUGAAGCUCCUUAAAUAAAUUAUUUGAGUAUUGUGCAAUCAUACUUGUUCAGGUUUGUCAUGUGGAAACAUUACAAAUCUAUGGUAUCAAUCUGCUUCUUGUGUUAAACUUUUGGUCUUUAUUUGUUUUCCUUGUAUGAAUGAAUCUGAAAAUUCUUUUGAAUGUAGCCAAGUUGGAAUGUUUGGGGUUGUGAUGUUGGUCUCCAUAUGUGGAGGAAAUUGAUGUGUUUUGGCACUGGGUCUUCAAUGGUCAAGUAUUGUGGGAUCAAUUUUGUGGAGUAACUCAGACCGUGAAGAUUUUUAUUUGAAAAGAAAAUUGAUGAAUUGCAGCACUGCUGUUUCACAUUCUUUUUGUUACUAGGAAAGCUAUGUAUUGUAGUUGAUAUGGUUCUGAUAGCAUGCCAAGCUUUCUUUGGAUAUGGGACAUGUCACAUACGCCAUCUUGAACUCGCUGCUAUCUUGGUGUAGAAAUAUCUUAUUCGUGCAGCAGUUUGGGAUCCUACGUGCACUCGUCCUGUUGUUUGCACAAGAAGUUCUCGUUUGUACAUGUGGACUCCUGGUGUUGCCUACAGUGUGAGUAUCCCGCCCUAACCACAAUUUAGCAUACUUGAUCUAAAUUGGAAUUGAGUUGGAAGCUGUCUCCUCCUAAAGGAUAAAGAGUCGUUUUGUUGCGCUUCUGUUUCAGUUCUUGAAUUGAGUAAAUAUAGCUCAAGUGAUUGAGGCAGUUGGCUAUUUUCCAGAGUUUAUUGUAAAAAAUUGUAGAAUGUACAAUUAAUCAGUUUACCUUGCCCUGCUGUGUACUGUGUUAAUGUAGUAUUGGGAUCUUUCAUUUCUUCUAGUUGGAACAUCCAACAGUUUGAUUAAAUUGGUGACCUUUCCUUCUCUCAUUUGUUUUUCCUUUCAUUGGAUUAGCACUAGUGCACAUGGAAUUGACUAGCUGACUUGCUUCGUUGUGAGGGAAGACAUUUUAAUUGCUUAGUUUUAUAUACAAAUGGAAUGCAUAAAUUGUUCAUGAUC